UAUGAACUUUACGUAUCAUAUUCUAUAUAUGAGCGGGAUAAAUAAUACACCCAAAUAUUUAGAAUAUGUUUGAUUUAGUUUGGUUAUUAAUAUUAUUGUGAAUUGUACGUGCAGAGAGUUGUUCUUGGCAGUAGUGGAUCUCAUGAAUUUAUCGUCAAGGCUGGAUAUGCCAAACUCAAGAAAAAAUAUGGUAUUAAUUCGAAUCGAAAGUGCUCCGAGUCUCGCAGUACGCCUGAGAACAGAGAAGAGAAUUAUACAGAUGAUCAAGCGGUGAAUUGCACAAAUGAUCAAGUAGCUAAUUGUACAAAUGAACAGGCGAAUUGUACAAGUGAGCAAGUAGUGAAUUGUUCAAGUUAUCAAGCAGAGGAGUUUCGCGGAGAAGAUUUUUGUGGUGAAGAUUUCUGCGGAGAAGUUUUUUCUGGAGGAGAAGAGUUUCACGGAGAAGAUUUUGACAGGGAAGAAUUCGAGGGAGACAAGAUUUUCAGAAGCGUUGAAUUUACAACGCGAGUCCCCAUUUCAUCCAAGACAGCUACUCGUGUUGAUGAUUUCGUAUCAUUCAUAUUUAACAAUGCACAUCAAGAUGAAGAGAAGUAGGCUAGCUAUGUAACUAGAGUUUGGAAAUCAGAUCAUCUUGUGCAAAUCUGGAUGAGUGAUUAGUUGUUGGCUUGUUGCAUUGUUAUGAACUUGAAAAUGUGACCAAAUGCCUCUAAAUUCUAAUCAACUUCUGCAGAAUCGUUAGAGCAUCUCCAGCAAUGUAGAAGACUUAGCUAAAAAUCAUUAAUGUCUGACAAAUCCAUUUCAGCCUAUCCGUUGGAGAUGCUCUGACAGAUCUAUGGAUUGAUGUGUACAUGUGCA